rnacentral:rRNA from 1 species
CAGUCGCCGCGGUAAUACAGAGGGUGCGAGCGUUAAUCGGAUUUACUGGGCGUAAAGCGUGCGUAGGCGGCUUUUUAAGUCGGAUGUGAAAUCCCUGAGCUUAACUUAGGAAUUGCAUUCGAUACUGGGAAGCUAGAGUAUGGGAGAGGAUGGUAGAAUUCCAGGUGUAGCGGUGAAAUGCGUAGAGAUCUGGAGGAAUACCGAUGGCGAAGGCAGCCAUCUGGCAUAAUACUGACGCUGAGGUACGAAAGCAUGGGGAGCAAACAGGAUUAGAUACCCCAGUAGUCCCUGUCUCUUAUAC